GACGAACGCUGGCGGCGUGCUUAACACAUGCAAGUCGAACGAAGUGGCGAACGGGUGAGUAACGCGUAAUCAACCUGCCCUUCAGAGGGGGAUAACAGUUGGAAACGACUGCUAAUACCGCAUACGGAAGGAGGGGAUUGCGUCUGAUUAGCGAGUUGGAGGGGUAAAGGCCCACAAAGGCGAUGAUCAGUAGCCGGUCUGAGAGUAUGAACGGCCACAUUGGGACUGAGACACGGCCCAGACUCCUACGGGAGGCAGCAGUGGGGAAUCUUCCGCAAUGGACGAAAGUCUGACGGAGCAACGCCGCGUGAGUGAUGACGGCCUUCGGGUUGUAAAGCUCUGUUAAUCGGGACGCGGUACCGGAAUAGAAAGCCACGGCUAACUACGUGCCAGCAGCCGCGGUCCUUC
rnacentral:rRNA from 1 species